rnacentral:rRNA from 1 species
CAGUAGCCGCGGUAAUACGAGGGGGGCAAGCGUUGUUCGGAAUUAUUGGGCGUAAAGGGUGCGUAGGCGGCUUGACAAGUCUUGUGUGAAAUCUAUGGGCUCAACCAAUAGUCUGCACGGGAAACUGUCGGGCUUGAGAAUGGGAGAGGUGAGUGGAAUUUCCGGUGUAGCGGUGAAAUGCGUAGAUAUCGGAAGGAACACCUGUGGCGAAAGCGGCUCACUGGACCAUUUCUGACGCUGAUGCACGAAAGCUAGGGGAGCAGACAGGAUUAGAGACCCGAGUAGUCCCUGUCUCUUAUAC